rnacentral:tRNA from 1 species
UGCGGUAUGGCGCAACGGUAGCGCGGCGGGUUCAUACCCCGCAGGUUCCGUGUUCAAUUCACGGUGCCGCAA